UGUCUUUUCCCUCCUUAUUUUGGCUUGUGGAGUGUUAUUUUCGGCUUCCAAAGGUUGCCCCCGAAGGGUGGACGUGUGCAGCUGGAGUUUGAAGGUUCAGCGGCUGAAGGUCUGAAGUUCGGCGGCCGAAGAUGCCUGAGUUUCGUCUCUGGAGGAGACUUUCGGCGGCCGAAGGUGCUUCCGAAGGUUGUUGAGUUUCGUCUCUGGAGGAGACAUUCGGCCCCCGAAAGUGCAUGUUCCAUUUUUGGCACUUUUUGGCAAUUUUAAGAGCAUUUUCUCCAAAGUGUUCCU
rnacentral:lncRNA from 1 species